GAUUGUUUCUUCAAGCUUGUUGUCUCCAUGGGUUCAGCUAGAUCUGGCAUCCUUGGAGAGGCUACAGUCAAUAUGACAGGCUAUAUGAGUUCACCUGCUCCUGUUCCAGUUUCACUAAGAUUGAAAAAGUGCAAUCAUGGGACAAUUUUACAAGUAUAUUAUCAUUCCUAUCAUAGCGGAGAAGCACAUAAAGAGUAUUGUGUGAUCAUAGAAUACUUAUGAAGUUGAAGGAAAAUUUU